rnacentral:rRNA from 1 species
GUCUCUUUGUUACUUUUAUAUAUCGAGUCUAAUCUGCCCAGUGAACUAUUAAACGGCCGCAGUACCCUAACUGUGCAAAGGUAGCAUAAUCAUUUGUCCUAUAAUUGAGGAAUAGUAUGAACGAUUGAAUGAGAAUUAUACUGUCUCUAGAUAAUUAUUUAAAAUUUAUAUUUUAGGUGAAGGUACCUAAAUAACAUUAAGUGACGAGAAGACCCUGUCGAGCUUUAGGUAGUUAAUAAGACAUACAAAUUUACUUUUGAUUGGGGCAAUCUGGGAACAAUAAAAACUUCCUUAAUUUAUUUUUAAAUUUUGAUCCAAAGUGUUUGAUAGUAAGAUAAGUUACCGGAGGGAUAACAGCAUAAUUUUUCUUGAGAGUUCCCAUCGAAAGAAUAGUUUGUGACCUCGAUGUUGGACUAAGAUUUCCUAUGGGUGUAGCCG